AUGUGUGAACUCAGGGCAGAAGUCAAUUACCUUGGUCAUCUUUCCCAUCCCAACCUUGUGAAGCUAUUUGGGUACUGCUUAGAGGAUGAGCACCGGCUACUAGUGUACGAGUUCCUACCACGUGGAAGCUUGGAAAGUCAUCUUUUUAAGAGAGGCUCAGGUCAACCUCUUGCAUGGAACCUGAGAAUGAAAGUUGCACUUGGAGCUGCGAAAGCACUAGCUUACCUUCACAGUGCAAAUAUUAUUAUUAGAGAUGUUAAGAGUUCCAAUAUUCUCCUUGACAGCGACUAUACUGCAAAGCUCACUGGUUUUGGAUUGGCAACUAAUGGUCCUGUUGGUGAGGAGACUCAUGUAUCCACAGGGGUUAUGGGAACAUAUGGUUAUGCUGCCCCGGAAUACAUUGCAACAGGCAGACUUACACAGAAGUGUGACAUCUAUGGCUUUGGAGUAUUGCUUCUGGAGUUGUUGUCAGGUCGUCGUGUCAUCGACAAGACCCGGCCAGAGGGGGAGCAACAUCUUGUGGACUGGGCCAGACCAUAUCUCAAACAUAAGCACAAGAUACGUUGCGUCAUAGAUGCCAGUCUAGGUGGUCUGUACUCGUUCAGUGCGGCACAGAACAUCGCUGCCCUUGCCCUUGAGUGCCUGUGCACGAGCUCUAAGAAGAGGCCGACCAUGGACUCGGUGGUCUCUGUCCUAGAAGGCGUCCAGGAAGACGAGGAACCAGAAGCAGAGAAGCACCAAGAAUCAGGCAAAAGGGUGACUGCGAGUGCAAGCAGGAACAAGGGCAAAUCUCGCUGGAAUAUCUUUGGAGGGGGGCGGUCGUGA
rnacentral:rRNA from 1 species